CGCCCCUGCGCCCGUCACCCUGAGACCCACUUACUUGGUGUGUUAUGUCCGACAUCUGUAAUCAUACUUGGAGGCCAGAAUGUGGUUACAACUACAACUUAAGUCUAUAUAAAGUUUUUAGCGAUGAAUGCGAUAUGUUUGAAUACAACUGUGACAAUCGGCUAGAUUAUGAAGUAGUAUAUUAUAAGGAAUGUUUCGUCGGAACGACUACUAUGUCGUCCCCAACGUGUCCAACUUUAAAUAUAAAUUUUACGGAUAACAUCAGCAGUAAAAGCGUUUUUAGGAGAAAGGCACAAAAAAAUUAUGCUACAGUAUUCUCGGUACUUAAGAAGAAGUUAAAGGGAAGAAGACAUACUCCAGAAGUUUCGAAGUUACACAAAUUGUUGCGCAAAAUGACUGUUACUAAAGCA